GAACGUCAAAAUCUGGGUAAAUGGGACUUGGGACAAUUUUUUUCGCAUUAUUCGCGGCGGAGUCCAAACCGAAAAAUGAGCGGCCACGAAGAAACUUUGGAUGGCGGUACCAGCAACCUGCUGACUGGUGGCAUUCUGUGCCGCUUGCCGACUGAAAAAAAAUGGCAAGGUUAGGAGUAGUCGCGGGAGGAAGUAGCCCGAUGCUGGAUAAACGAAUUGAACACCUUCUGCAAUAGUCACAGGAUCUGGCCAGCUUGGCGUGAAAAUCUACACAAGGAUGUAUGCAGGCUACCAAAUUCAAAUAUGGAUCAUCUCCAUCGUCGAACAAGCCAUUCUGCGAAAAAUUCCUUUAUAUUAGUGAUAGAAAACUGUAGACACUAAUAAAU